ensembl:lncRNA
UGCUCGCCGGCCUGCUCACCUUCAAACAGUAAAGGACUCACGGUGGGUCCGCCGUCUGCCUGGGGAAGGCUCUCUCCAAGUCCGCUUUAAGGACGCAGUUCGUAUGAAAGUGGACGCAGCGCAUUUUCGUGGCCGAGACUGCAAGUCACCGCGCAGAUGAGGCACCCUGAGAGCGCUGGCGGCCUAGAGGCCCUGGACGCUGUGUUGUGUUCUGCAAACGCCUCUCACCGUUAGAGGUGGAACAUGCCUUCCCACCCCAGGAGUUUGUUAUCGUAAGUUGUCCUCCUGAUCUGCCACUUUGAGCAGGUUAGUGACAUCUGCAGAUGGGCGCCUGGACUGAAUCCCAGAGCCCCAUCUACGCCGGGGAGGGGACGUGGAUGGAGUCUCCAGGCGGAAAAAGUCGGAAGCACUGUGUUCCUGAAGCUGCAAGCAGCGUAAUACCGUUAAGAGGAGGAAAAUGAAGCCUGAGUGUUAAGGUGCUGGAGGACUUAUGAAUAUAGAGAAAUUUGGUCCUUAGAGAAAGGGACAGGUAAUAGGCCAAAGUGGCACUGGGCAGCAUGCAGGAUCUCAGUUCCCUGGCCAAGGACGAACCCAUGCCCCUUGCAGUGGAAGCACGGAGUCUUAACCACAACACC